rnacentral:rRNA from 1 species
UACGUAGGGGGCUAGCGUUGUCCGGAAUCAUUGGGCGUAAAGCGCGUGUAGGCGGCCCGGUAAGUCCGCUGUGAAAGUCGGGGGCUCAACCCUCGAAUGCCGGUGGAUACUGUCGGGCUAGAGUACGGAAGAGGCGAGUGGAAUUCCUGGUGUAGCGGUGAAAUGCGCAGAUACCAGGAGGAACACCAAUUGCGAAGGCAGCUCGCUGGGACGUCACUGACGCUGAGACGCGAAAGCGUGGGGAGCAAACAGG